rnacentral:lncRNA from 10 species
GGGAUAAAGCUGUCAGGAAAUUAAACUAGAAUCAACAUUUGACAGGAAAAACAAGAAAGGAAUCUUGAAAGAAAGAAAGAAGAAAAGAAAAGAAAAAAAGACUUCUCAAGCUCAGAAUCAGCCCUUGCUAUUAACAUCUCCUUCAAGGAUCAUUAGAGGCUCCCAAGGGCCAAUGGGACUGGGUGGAAGGUAAUUCUGUGCGCUCUUUCAUCAGCUGGCAAUUUCUAAAGC